AUAGCAAGCCUCGAAAUACAGGAAACACGAAUGCCGCCCGUAGAGUUGGUGAAUAAAGUGGUCAAAUAUUACAUAGAUUAAAAUUCCCACCAGUGCAUCAACGGCAUUAAUAUCAGCACUAAAGGCUAAUGUGUAAACAGGUGUAAAUAUCUGACGCAUCCUGUCCAGAAGGUGGCAGCAUCGGCCAACAGAUUCUUGUUGUGGUUUUGGUUCUCUCUGCCAGCGGUAAAGAUGAGAGGGUACCAAUCAAACUCCACUAAAAUGGACUAAAAUGUUGACUACAUUCACAACACAAAAUUUGGAGACCAGCCUGGUGCGGAUGUGGGGCCUCUGAUCUCUUCGGAGGCCAAAGAGAGUCUGCAGUAUGAUCCAGAGUGGAGAAGAAGAAGAGGAGCAGCAACUUUAUGGGAACCCCUGUGGCAACGGUACAGCUAUCUUCACCACAAAUGGCGCCACUGCACACAAAUACACUCACGAGGUGGACGUGUGCCAGGGAAUCCAGUUCCACACACAAACAAACUAUAAUCUCCAAAUGAGAAGACGAAGAGGCUCUCUGAGGGGGGAGGGAUUCCUCUCCCGGUAUGGAUAGACUGCGAUGCAUGUCAUGUGUACAAAAUGAACAAUGUAAAAGAUGUACAGUACGUUCAACGCAACAGAUGUGUGAUUUCUUUUUUUUUUUUGUUAUACACAAUUGGGCAAAUAAAAUAACUUUCCAAAAAUGAGGUUUCCUUCAAAUGAUACGUUCUGAUUCUUCUAUGAUUCUUCAAACC